AAAAAUUAUUUAUAGUUUAUUUUAAUUUAUUAUAUAUUUAUUUUACAUAUAAAUUUUAUUAAAAAUUUGUAUUUAUUUUAAUAAUAAAAUAUAUUUAAAUAUGAGUAGUAAUUAAUAUUAAAAAUUUAAGAAAUUAUGAUUUAGUAAUAUAUAAAUUAAUAACAAAUUUUGUGCCAGCAGUUGCGGUUAUACAAAAAUUGAGUUAAAUUUUUUUAGUUAAUAAUAAAAAUAUGAAGUUUUAUAUAAAAUAUUAAAUUAUUAAGUGAAAUUUUAAUUUAAUUGAAAUAUAUUUAUAAUUUUGAAUUAAUAAAUUUAUUUAUUAAACUAGGAUUAGAUACCCUAUUAUUUUAAAAUUAAAUUUUUAUACUAAAAUAUUAAAUAUAUUAAAAUAUUAAAACUUAAAUAAUUUGGCGGUAUUUUAGUUCAUUUAGAGGAAUCUGUUUAAUAAUUGAUAAUCCACGAAUAAAUUUACUUAAUUUUUUUUUUAUUUUAUAUAUCGUUGUUAAAAAAAUAUUUUUAAAUAAUAAAUAAUAUUUUAAAAUUUAAAAUUAAAUUAAAUCAGAUCAAGAUAUAGAUUAUAAUUAAGAAUAUAAUGGAUUACAAUAAAUUUUAAUUAGAUGAAUAUUAAUUUGAAAAAAUUAGUUGAAGGUGGAUUUAAAUGUAAUUUUAUUUAAUUUGUUAAAAUGAUUAUAAAUUAAAAUAUGUACAUAUUGCCCGUCGCUUUCAUUAAUAAGUUGAAAUAAGUCGUAACAAAGUAGAGGUACUGGAAAGUGUUUCUAGAAAGUAU
rnacentral:ncRNA from 1 species